AUUUAUUACCGACGCAAACUCUGCUCUCAGGCGGCUGCUUGAGGACUACGAGCGUGUGCUUAAAACUCAAAGAACUUGGCGGCUUGCUAACUUCCCAGGGGAAUAUGCGCCUUAAUCCGAUAAUCCCCGUCGAAUCUUACUGUGUCUUGAAAAAGUGCAGCUGGUGUAUUGCCGUUGUCAGCUUGUUGUUUGAGCAGAGAGUAACAGGCUCAAUGGAGCCGGUCGAUUAGUUCGCUGGUGUCCACGAAUUCAGGUCGAAAUGCCGCCGAUGGCACAAGGGAGUGGGUAUUACAGUUUAUACUUAGAAUUACGGACCCUUAUUUUGAAAUAUUAAGGUGAAGGUGAACUUGGAAGUAAGGGGGAAUUAAUAUGUUUCCCUGAAUAUGAAUCUGGCUUGAGUACAAACUGCCCGUCGCUCUCGCCGUGAGGUGAGAUAAGU
rnacentral:rRNA from 1 species